AUCAGUUUGAGCCACUCCCAAAGGUGUAUAACUAAGGAGUGUUUGUUCUAUGAUUUGGGCUUACUGAAUGUUUGCUCCUGAUUUUGCUGAAUCCUUGCUACUCAGCACAAGCUCCUGACUUGCAGCCCAUUUGAUGCUGGCAAGUUUAUCUCCACGUCCAUGGAAGGAACACUGGAAGAGAUACAUUUUCUACUGGAAGAACUGUGUGAAUCAAAUGUAUGGACAAUAUGUUGUAUCUCAGUAAGUGUUGAACAUGUGCCAGUGCCCUUAUAAUUGAUGAUGGAGAAUACAAAAAGUGGUUCUGAAACACAAGGAUCUGUGGACCAAAACUCUCACUUGAACUUUGGUGACUCUUACGUAACUCAGCUUGCGUAUGAUAAUGACAAUUUGAUGGACAUGGACGAUCUAGUUCCCUUACAUGAUGAUCUUUUUGCCAGAAGGAUGAGACUUGGUCACAACCCAGAACAAGCAGAAUCAAUUUAUUUACAUAAAAGGCAACAACUUGCUCCCUCUCUAAUAGGGAGGAAACCCAAGGAACCUGAAUAUGAAGAUGGAAGUGUUAUUUAUGAAUAUGACCCCAAUGAAGGUGUAUGUAUGCUUCCAAAGGGAAACGUGGUAUCUGGAGCUUCAUAUUCAGCAGAUCAUGAUAACAUUCUUAUGGAGGUCCUUAAUUAUUGCCAGGCCACAUAUGAUGCCAUUCAGAAACUGGACAAGAAGAUUGAUAGUCUACAUCAGAUGGUCUCAGAAAUGCAACACACACAUCUAAAACAGAAGCCAGUUGGAUUUACAGUCAGUUCUAGUAGGCCUCCUGUUGGAAAAAUCCACAUUCAAAAAUCCACAGAAAGGAGGCUAGGUCAUAUCUCAUCUCACAGAGAUAGAAAUUACAGCCAGCACACAAAGGCUAGACUACAAAGGCCCAACAUUUUGUCCAGCUCUUCAACUGCAUCGGAUGCAUACACUCUUCAACCUGAGACACAGCAUCCUGCCCCAAGUCAGAGUCCACCCCUCCCUAAAAUAGUUUCCAUUCAUUCAUUGUGUUCCCCAUGUAGCAUGGCCAGCAAAAUGCCCGAUUUUCCUUCCCAAAUUGAUCUAGUCAAUGAAAAUCUUCUUCCUGCAACAUCUUUGGUAACAGCAUCCCCUGUGGUUUCAUCAGUGAUGCCUUCACCACCACCAGCUAGUUUGGAGAGAAGCAGUUUGAUAGCAACCAACAAAGCGUUACCUAGAAGUAUAAAUACUCUCAGUGAACUUCCUUCUUCGCCUUCAGCUUCUGUGAGUCCAGCAAUAGCCUCCAGUUCUUCAUUGUACCUACAAAUCAGCACAGCCGGUGGGGCGUCACGUAUUCCAUCACAAGCUAGUCCUGCAAAUUUAGCACUUGACAGUUCUGAUGUGACAUCUUCAGCUUUCUCAUCUCAAAGGAGAGCCCCUGUCCCUGCACUUGAAACUAAUUUGGGGGGAAACAGCGUGCCCGGAACUUCCAGAACUUCAUCUGAAUAUACAGAUAGGAGCAGUAAUGAGCCCUCUUCCUCUUUGAAUCAUGAUUUUGAGUUUGUGGGUGAUCCAAAGCGGAAGAUAAACAUCCUUAGAAGCAGUUUGAGAGAAGCUAAACAAAAGGCCAGACCCUGGAAAGCUGCUAGCUCCUUAGUCCGACUCUUGUUCCCUAAAGAAACAUUAGCGUACAGUGCCAUUGUGACAAAAGCACAAGGGCGUAGGACCCUGGAUCCUAAUAAGAUAGCUGCAAUAAGAGAAAUCCCUUACAACGUAUUUCCCAAAGUAUGAUCUGAGUGAGAAUGGAAGGGACUGGAAAGCCUGUAUUACAAGUAUAAAUAAUAUAAUCCGCUACCUACGAAAUGAAAAAAAUGCAAAGACCAGAAAUCAUGGAAGGGACAGAGAAUCUCCCUGACACUCCAGACACAUCAGUAGUUGGUAAUGAUGAUGAAAAUGAACUCAGUAGCCAAACUAGCUGAAAAGCAAACCAGAAACAAAAUUGUUGAUCUCAGAGGUAUGUGAUCAACUAAGAGAUUCAGACAGCAAGCCUGAAUCAUCACUGGAUGUAAGCCAGUAUAUAUAUCUAAUGUUUUUUUUUUAUCUAAGUGGACAUAAACAAAUAUAAACACAUAAUUUG